rnacentral:rRNA from 1 species
UACGUAGGGGGCGAGCGUUGUCCGGAUUUAUUGGGCGUAAAGAGCUCGUAGGCGGUUUGUCGCGUCGGGAGUGAAAUCAUCUGGCUUAACUGGGUGCUUGCUUUCGAUACGGGCAGACUAGAGGUAUGCAGGGGAGAACGGAAUUCCUGGUGUAGCGGUGAAAUGCGCAGAUAUCAGGAGGAACACCGAUGGCGAAGGCAGGUCUCUGGGCCGUAACUGACGCUGAGGAGCGAAAGCAUGGGGAGCGAACAGG